AAGAGGGAAGGAUAUCGAAGGAAAGGGUUGAGAAAGAAAAAGUAAAGCUGGUUUUUAAAGUUAAGUAAUGGGCAUUUGGAGCUUUUGAAUGACAUCCAGGGAAGUGGGGGGCACACUCAUUUCUGUAAAGGGAGGAGGGGCAGAAAAGCAUCUUGGAGAGGAGAUCGGACCCACAGCACGUGAAAGAAGGAAUUGCCGAAGGAAGGAAAGAAAUGUUAGAAGAUCUAUAAACGGAUGACCAUUGACAUGAGUUACUUUGUAGUUUGGGAACCUUUAAUCAUGGCUUCCAAGAUCGCCUUUUCUUCCCCUGGAGCAGCCACAUAAGAAGGUCAGAGCAGAAGCCUCAGAUACUAGGCUUCUGCGCGAAAUCACCUCUAGCAGAUGCUGGCGUUUCAGGCAGGCGUCCCCGCCCCACUCGCCUCCCAUUUAUUGAGCUGCUGCACCACCCACCAGCCACUGUGAGUGGUGGCUCAUAACAGCUCAUAAAUGCUCCUUUCUCUGAAAAAUGGCCUUCAGCCAUAAGAGAGCCACGUCUCCAAGGAGAAUAUGCACAUCGGUCCUCAAGCCCAGGGUCAGGGAAGGGGGCAGCCCGCAGCCUAUGACAGGCUGACAAGGGGAUCAAGAAAAGCAGGUCCCCUUUUGCCUCUCGAUGGGAUCGACCCCAUGGUCCAGAGCUCCCAGGGAUUAAGCUGAAGUUAGGCCCUAGAUGAGGCCACAUCCUCGUUCAAAACGUGGUCCCUGGAUCGGCAGCUUCCGCGUCACCUGGGAACCUGGCAGAAAUGCCAGUUCUCGGGUCCAAGUGCAGAUCCGGCAAAUCAGAGGCUCUGUUUAAACAAACCCUCUAAGAGAUUCUGAGGCACCGUGAGGUUUGAGAACCAGUGUCCGGCUCCAUCCUACCUGCCUCACAUUCUUUUUCCUGAGACUCACUUAAUAAACCAACUGCAUUUGACUCCCUGUCUCAGGCUCUGCUUCUAGGGGACCCCAACCUAGUCAUAUGUCAUUUUGCCUGUUGUGCCUAAUUGCCUUUUCUAUUUAAACUGUCCAACUCGGGCUUCCCUGGUGGCGCAGUGGUUAAAAAUCCACCUGCCAAUGCAGGGGACA